rnacentral:rRNA from 1 species
UACGUAGGGGCCGAGCGUUGUCCGGAGUUACUGGGCGUAAAGCGCGCGCAGGCGGCGGUGCAAGCCCGACGUGAAAGCCCCCGGCUCAACCGGGGAGGGUCGUCGGGGACUGUGCCGCUUGAGGUCGGCAGGGGUUGGUGGAAUUCCCGGUGUAGUGGUGAAAUGCGCAGAUAUCAGGAGGAACACCGGUGGCGAAGGCGGGUUGCUGGGCCGACACUGACGCUGAUGCGCGAAAGCCAGGGGAGCGAACGGG